rnacentral:tRNA from 1 species
UCGGAUAGCUCAGCAGGGAGAGCACCAGGCUACUAACCUGGUUGUCACGGGUUCGAUUCCCGUUCCGA